rnacentral:rRNA from 1 species
UACGGAGGGUGCAAGCGUUGUUCGGAAUCAUUGGGCGUAAAGCGCGUGUAGGCGGCUUGGCAAGUCAGUUGUGAAAGCCCGGGGCCCAACCCCGGAAUUGCAUCUGAAACUGCCUGGCUGGAGUCCCGGAGAGGAAGGCAGAAUUCCCGGUGUAGGGGUGAAAUCCGUAGAUAUCGGGAGGAAUACCAGCGGCGAAGGCGGCCUUCUGGACGGUGACUGACGCUGAGGCGCGAAAGCGUGGGGAGCAAACAGG